UACGGAGGAUGCGAGCGUUAUCCGGAUUUAUUGGGUUUAAAGGGUGCGCAGGCGGCGAGUUAAGUCAGCGGUAAAAUUUCGGGGCUCAACCUCGACAAGCCGUUGAAACUGGCUUGCUAGAGUGGGCGAGAAGUAUGCGGAAUGCGUGGUGUAGCGGUGAAAUGCAUAGAUAUCACGCAGAACUCCGAUUGCGAAGGCAGCAUACCGGCGCCCAACUGACGCUCAGGCACGAAAGCGUGGGUAUCGAACAGG
rnacentral:rRNA from 1 species